ACAUUGACUGAGGAUGGUCGGCGAAUUUGCCAAUCUUGCUUUGGUAAAUGUCUUGAGGCAUGAAUGUUGAUGAGGUUACGUGAUCAAACGCUCGAAGCAGUCAAGCUAGCAAGCAAGGAAAAAAAAGUUACUAAAGUACGUGACGUAUGUGUGAUGCUGGCUCAGGGAAAAUGUCAUCUUGCAGCAUCGUGAGGGUCCAGUGUCUCAGCCAUUUGCUUUGAUCAGUGCGAGGCGAAGGUCUUGGACUGUAAACUGCAUGAGCACCCGUCCAAAUAAGACACAAAGGCCUCAAAACACAACCAUAGCGACAGACAGAGAUCCAGCACAGAGCUUUUAAAGGAUCGGAAUCUUUGAGAGGGCAGAAGAAAGAAGCGUUCGGUGAUAAGGUGUACCUGUAUUUGUGAGGCAAUAAAGGAGAGGUCACAAACAACAGGAAGUGGAGCAGGGGGAGUGAAAGGUAAACAGGAACUGUUGUCAUAUGUGGAACUGAGACAGUGAUGAAUACAAGAAAACAAACACAUCUUUAUGUAGGUGUUCACAGGGCUCACGGUCUUCAAGCCACCAGCAUCUGAUAUCAUGCACAAGGUAUUUUACUGUGUGUGUGUGUGUGUGUGUGUGUGUGUGUGUGUGUGUGUGUGCGUGUGCGUGCGUGCGUGCGAUUUGAAUGGAGUUUUAUUUGAGUGUGUAGUGUCGAUUGUCUUUCUGAAAAUAUGCACUUGCUGCAACCCAAAGCAAAACUUUAUUGCUGUUUCAUUGCUACGGAGGAUAAAUUUAGUUCAGAUGUUUCAGAUAAGAUACUUGUUGACAUGCAGUGAAAGUAUAAAGCUAUAAAAUGAAUGUGGAUAGCAACUCAGAGAGUCUGAGAUGUGAAAAUAUGUGAGAUUACUGGGUUAUCAGUCAAUGGAGAAAAAUCUGAGAAGCAAGAGACUUAUUUGUUGUGCAUGAUAGGAAGAAAGAAAUAAUGUAUUUGUAUAAAUAUGCACACAGUUGGUAUGUGUGUGUGUGUGUGUGUGUGUGUGUGUGUGUGUGUGUGUGUGUGUGUGUGUGUGUGUGUGUGUGUGUGUGUGUGUGUGUGUGUGUGUGUGUGUGGUGUGUGUGGGUGUGUAUGGUCUCCUGUCAUGAGGGGUUUCCCAUGCUGGUUGUCUGAUUGAGUCUCGGAGCUUCAUUCACUAACAAAACCACAGAUAUGGGAUUUCAGACAUCAAAGAACAUUUUUUCUUUACCUAAAAACAUCUCUGAAUCCGUUCUGCACACUUUCCCACAGAAAGAAAGUUACUUCUUUACACGUUAUAGCACUUAAUUCACCUUUCUUUCAGUGUACUUGUAUAUAUUUAUUAUGUAUGUUAACUCAAACUUGUAAAAAAAAUAUAUAUAUAUAUAUAUAAUUAAAUGCAAAAUAUAAACCCAAGUAGCCUAUAAUUUCUUUUAAAGGAAUAUAACACAAUCACUC